rnacentral:rRNA from 1 species
GACGAACGCUGGCGGCGUGCCUAAUACAUGCAAGUCGAGCGAAGUUUUUCUGGUGCUUGCCCUAGAAAAACUUAGCGGCGAACGGGUGAGUAACACGUAAAGAACCUGCCUCAUAGACUGGGACAACUAUUGGAAACGAUAGCUAAUACCGGAUAACAGUAUUUCUCGCAUGAGAGAUAUUUAAAAGUUGGUUAUGCUAACACUAUGAGAUGGCUUUGCGGUGCAUUAGCUAGUUGGUGGGGUAAAGGCCCACCAAGGCGACGAUGCAUAGCCGACCUGAGAGGGUGAUCGGCCACACUGGGACUGAGACACGGCCCAGACUCCUACGGGAGGCAGCAGUAGGGAAUCUUCCGCAAUGGACGAAAGCCUGACGGAGCAACGCCGCGUGAGUGAAGAAGGAUUUCGGUUCGUAAAGCUCUGUUGUUAGGGAAGAAUGGAUAUGUAGUAACUAUACAUGUAAGAGACGGUACCUAACCAGAAAGCCACGGCUAACUACGUG